UACGUAGGCAGCGAGCGUUGUUCGGAGUUACUGGGCGUAAAGGGCGCGUAGGCGGCUCAUGAAGGCUGUGGUGAAAGUCCGGGGCUCAAGCCUCGGAUCGGCCGUGGCGACUCGUGGGCUGGAGCACUGUAGAGGCGGGUGGAAUUCCGGGUGUAGCGGUGGAAUGCGUAGAGAUCCGGAAGAACACCAGUGGCGAAGGCGGCCCGCUGGGCAGUGGCUGACGCUGAGGCGCGACAGCGUGGGGAGCAAACAGG
rnacentral:rRNA from 1 species